UCCUUCUGGCUCCCUCGAGAUCGUUGUACUUCAUCUCGUCAUUUUCACUUUCCGUACCAAGAAACCACUAACAAAUCUUUUACAAAUCUUAGCUUGGUCUUCCACCUUUUUUAUUAUUCCAGACACCAAUUGAUUGUGACGUCCGGAUACUAGCAUUAUCGCCAACUUCAUUCAUGCUAAAUUGCUUUUAAUCUGCAUUGUCAAAUUCAAGACAGCCUUAGACUCCACACGUAGCCAGUAAUAUUCAACAACGGAAAUACAAUGUCUAUUUAUUUUACCGACCCAUUAUAAAUAUUGGGUGCAUCUGCUAUGGCCUGCAGCAUUCACUGGCACACCCACAAUCCAUAG
rnacentral:lncRNA from 1 species